AGUGAACGCUGGCGGUAGGCCUAACACAUGCAAGUCGAACGGCAGCACAGUAAUAGCUUGCUCUUACGGGUGGCGAGUGGCGGACGGGUGAGGAAUACAUCGGAAUCUACUUUUUCGUGGGGGAUAACGUAGGGAAACUUACGCUAAUACCGCAUACGACCUACGGGUGAAAGCAGGGGAUCUUCGGACCUUGCGCGAUUGAAUGAGCCGAUGUCGGAUUAGCUAGUUGGCGGGGUAAAGACCCACCAAGUCGACGAUCCGUAGCUGGACUGAGAGGAUGAUAAGCCACACUGGAACUGAGACACGGUCCAGACUACUACGGGAGGCAGCAGUGGGGAAUAUUGGGCAAUGGGCGCAAGCCUGAUCCAGCCAUCCCGCGUGUGUGAAGAAGGCCUUCGGGUUGUAAAGCCCUUUUGUUGGGAAAGAAAAGCAGCAGGUUAAUACCCCGCUGUUCUGACGGUAACCAAAGAAUAAGCACCGGCUAACUACGUG
rnacentral:rRNA from 1 species